rnacentral:rRNA from 1 species
CAGAGGUUACUGCUAUCGRGAUUCGACUAAGCCAUGCGAGUUGAAUGUUCUUCGUGAACAUGGCGGACUGCUCAGUAACACGUGGACAACCUACCCUUGGGUCCGGCAUAAUCCUGGGAAACUGGGAAUAAUUCCGGAUAGGUCACCGAUGCUGGAAUGCGCGGUGGCCGAAAGCUCCGGCGCCCGAGGAUGGGUCUGCGGCCUAUCAGGGUUGUAGUGGGUGUAACGUACCUACUAGCCUACGACGGGUACGGGUUGUGAGAGCAAGAGCCCGGAGAUGGAUUCUGAGACACGAAUCCAGGCCCUACGGGGUGCAGCAGGCGCGAAAACUUUACAAUGCGGGAAACCGUGAUAAGGGGAUCUCGAGUGCCAGCAUAUAAUGUUGGCUGUCCAGAUGCCUAAAAAGCAUCUGUUAGCAAGGGCCGGGCAAGACCGGUGCCAGCCGCCGCGGUAACACCGGCGGCCCGAGUGGUAACCGCUAUUAUUGGGUCUAAAGGGUCUGUAGCCGGCCAGGUAAGUCCCUUGGGAAAUCUGGCAGCUCAACUGUCAGGCUGCUAGGGGAUACUGUUUGGCUUGGGACCGGGAGAGGUGAGAGGUACCUUGGGGGUAGGGGUGAAAUCUUGUGAUCCUCGAGGGACCACCAGUGGCGAAGGCGUCUCACCAGAACGGGUCCGACGGUAAGGGACGAAAGCUAGGGGCACGAACCGGAUUAGAUACCCGGGUAGUCCUAGCCGUAAACGAUGCUCGCUAGGUGUCAGUCACGGUGCGACCGUGAUUGGUGCCGUAGGGAAGCCGUGAAGCGAGCCACCUGGGAAGUAUGGCCGCAAGGCUGAAACUUAAAGGAAUUGGCGGGGSAGCACWACARCSGGUGGAGCCUGCGGUUUAAUUG